rnacentral:rRNA from 3 species
UUUGAGAGUUUGAUCCUGGCUCAGGACGAACGCUGGCGGCGUGCCUAAUACAUGCAAGUCGAACGAACUCUGGUAUUGAUUGGUGCUUGCAUCAUGAUUUACAUUUGAGUGAGUGGCGAACUGGUGAGUAACACGUGGGAAACCUGCCCAGAAGCGGGGGAUAACACCUGGAAACAGAUGCUAAUACCGCAUAACAACUUGGACCGCAUGGUCCGAGUUUGAAAGAUGGCUUCGGCUAUCACUUUUGGAUGGUCCCGCGGCGUAUUAGCUAGAUGGUGAGGUAACGGCUCACCAUGGCAAUGAUACGUAGCCGACCUGAGAGGGUAAUCGGCCACAUUGGGACUGAGACACGGCCCAAACUCCUACGGGAGGCAGCAGUAGGGAAUCUUCCACAAUGGACGAAAGUCUGAUGGAGCAACGCCGCGUGAGUGAAGAAGGGUUUCGGCUCGUAAAACUCUGUUGUUAAAGAAGAACAUAUCUGAGAGUAACUGUUCAGGUAUUGACGGUAUUUAACCAGAAAGCCACGGCUAACUACGUGCCAGCAGCCGCGGUAAUACGUAGGUGGCAAGCGUUGUCCGGAUUUAUUGGGCGUAAAGCGAGCGCAGGCGGUUUUUUAAGUCUGAUGUGAAAGCCUUCGGCUCAACCGAAGAAGUGCAUCGGAAACUGGGAAACUUGAGUGCAGAAGAGGACAGUGGAACUCCAUGUGUAGCGGUGAAAUGCGUAGAUAUAUGGAAGAACACCAGUGGCGAAGGCGGCUGUCUGGUCUGUAACUGACGCUGAGGCUCGAAAGUAUGGGUAGCAAACAGGAUUAGAUACCCUGGUAGUCCAUACCGUAAACGAUGAAUGCUAAGUGUUGGAGGGUUUCCGCCCUUCAGUGCUGCAGCUAACGCAUUAAGCAUUCCGCCUGGGGAGUACGGCCGCAAGGCUGAAACUCAAAGGAAUUGACGGGGGCCCGCACAAGCGGUGGAGCAUGUGGUUUAAUUCGAAGCUACGCGAAGAACCUUACCAGGUCUUGACAUACUAUGCAAAUCUAAGAGAUUAGACGUUCCCUUCGGGGACAUGGAUACAGGUGGUGCAUGGUUGUCGUCAGCUCGUGUCGUGAGAUGUUGGGUUAAGUCCCGCAACGAGCGCAACCCUUAUUAUCAGUUGCCAGCAUUAAGUUGGGCACUCUGGUGAGACUGCCGGUGACAAACCGGAGGAAGGUGGGGAUGACGUCAAAUCAUCAUGCCCCUUAUGACCUGGGCUACACACGUGCUACAAUGGAUGGUACAACGAGUUGCGAACUCGCGAGAGUAAGCUAAUCUCUUAAAGCCAUUCUCAGUUCGGAUUGUAGGCUGCAACUCGCCUACAUGAAGUCGGAAUCGCUAGUAAUCGCGGAUCAGCAUGCCGCGGUGAAUACGUUCCCGGGCCUUGUACACACCGCCCGUCACACCAUGAGAGUUUGUAACACCCAAAGUCGGUGGGGUAACCUUUUAGGAACCAGCCGCCUAAGGUGGGACAGAUGAUUAGGGUGAAGUCGUAACAAGGUAGCCGUAGGAGAACCUGCGGCUGGAUCACCUCCUU